rnacentral:rRNA from 1 species
UGGGGAAUAUUGGACAAUGGGCGAAAGCCUGAUCCAGCCAUGCCGCGUGAGUGAUGAAGGCCUUAGGGUUGUAAAACUCUUUCGCCGGGGAAGAUAAUGACGGUACCCGGAGAAGAAGCUCCGGCUAACUUCGUGCCAGCAGCCGCGGUAAUACGAAGGGAGCUAGCGUUGUUCGGAAUCACUGGGCGUAAAGCGCACGUAGGCGGAUGUGUCAGUCAGGGGUGAAAUCCCGGAGCUCAACUCCGGAACUGCCUCUGAUACUGCACGUCUUGAGUUCGAGAGAGGUGGGUGGAAUUCCUAGUGUAGAGGUGAAAUUCGUAGAUAUUAGGAAGAACACCGGUGGCGAAGGCGGCCCACUGGCUCGAUACUGACGCUGAGGUGCGAAAGCGUGGGGAGCAAACAGGAUUAGAUACCCUUGUAGUCCCUGAGCGGGCUGGCAAGGCGCAU